UGCCAGCCGCCGCGGUAAUACGGAGGGGGCAAGCGUUAUUCGGAUUCAUUGGGCGUAAAGGGCGUGUAGGCGGCCUGGUCAGUUCGACGUGAAAUCUCCACUGCUCAACAGGGAGGCGUCGUCGGAUACUGCCAGGCUUGAGGGUCGGAGGGGCCAGCGGAAUUCCCGGUGUAGCGGUGGAAUGCGUAGAUAUCGGGAAGAACACCAGUGGCGAAGGCGGCUGGCUGGACGACUCCUGACGCUGAUGCGCGAAAGUGUGGGGAGCGAACAGGAUUAGAUA
rnacentral:rRNA from 1 species